rnacentral:piRNA from 1 species
UGUCUUUGCCGUCAAACUAACUGAUGA